CCGUCCAGACACAUAAACACAUAUCACUUCACACAUCGCUGAAGACAUUAUAUCUUACCAGGGUGGAAGUGCACCAGCAUGCAGCCAUUGCAACAAUGAUCUGAGAACAGGAUGUGACAGCUACCAAACCAAGCUGAAAUCUUAAAAUCUAGCUCAAAAUGGCUACUUACUCAUGAAAAAGCCACUACUGACCAGCACAAUUUCUACCAUCAGGAGUAUUUCUGAAGUAACUACCUCUGUUGGAAAAAAGUUCUUUGUUCCUUACCUCGUCAUCUUUAUACCAGGACAAGCUUUCUGCUGUUAAAACGAACCAGUAUUCCUUGGAUCCUCCUUUCAUGAUGCCAAUGUUGUUGAUGGUCAGCCAGCCUUUCCGGAUGACCUGUGCAGAGG